UGCGAGGUCCAAUCGUUUCCAGCGGAUAGCAAAGAGGCGGAGAUAGAUUAAUCUUCGAUGCUUUUGCUUCCCCCAUCGGCAAAUUAGGGUUUCGAGUCGCUCUUCCGAAUCGGAUUCAAUCGGGAUGGAGAACACUGACAUUGACAUGGUAAUCAGCAUACCUGACACACCUGACAGACCUGUAAGACGUGAGACUAACAAAAGACAGCGUUCUCCAGAAGCACAGGCUAGAUUCCAAAGAGGAGAGCACCGUCAUUAUUACCCCAACGGCAGAGCUAGAACAGUCUCUGAAGCUUCUGAUACACAAGCUGAGCACGGACAUGGACAUCGCUCUCGUGCUUCUGGAAGCAAUGCUUUGUUUAGGAGAAGCGCUGUUGAGAAGGAUAAAGGGAAAUCCAUCUGCAUUGAUCCUUCCCCGGCUCGGGCUGAGAAAGAUCCGGUUGUUAAUGCUCUGUUUACAACUGAAGGUGUAGGAGAAUCACGGGCAAGUAGUGAUGGUUCUUCUCCUAAUAAGGGUAAAGGGAUAGUAGUAGAGUGUGGCUCUGUUUCUAGUGAGAGAAAACCUGUUAGAGGCACUAGAAGGCUGGUGAGAAACGGGUGCAUAUCUCCACAUGCAAUAGCAGCUAGAACUAGACAAGCUGCUGCUGAUGAUACCAAUUCUAAGGAUAGAGUUAGUCUUGAACAGGAGUUAGCUCUUGAAGCUGCGUCUUCGAUUGACAUUAGGGAGAUUGUUUCUGAUAAUCAUACUCGUGGAAAAGCUAGAGGAAAAAGACCAGAGAUUCCCCCAAGCAGGGUGGCUAGUAGAGAGGCCUCGGAGGGAUGGUUUAGUACGCGCAGCAGGAGUUUAAAUACCGACCAUGAAGUGAAUCGGAGGGAUGAGAGUGACACACGUGGAGCUGGUAGUUUCGUUUCAGGACUUGAUGUUCUGGAAACCGGUGCAGUUGACAGAGAACCUAGACCACAACGGCGACGGAAAAAUGGAGUUACUCCUUCGAGGUAUGAGCCACAGGCUUCUGUCAUUGGAUCUUCUGGGGAACCAUCUAGCUCAAGGCCGCGCCAUUAUCAAAGACAAGGCAGACAAGUGUUGGAAAUUGAAGAUUCAUCUCCUGAAGUAAGGGUCUCCCGAGCUCCUAGACGUGUUGAAAACGAUGAAUCUGAUGACGUGAAAGCAAGACAGAUCGAAGCUGAUGCGCUGAUGGCUCGUGAGCUGCAAGAACAGAUGUACGCAGAAUCGACAAUUAGAAACGAGCAGAUGGACGAAACCAUAGCCAGGUUGAUGGAACAAGAAGAGAAUCCUCUCCGUUCUUCUUCUAGCCGUGCUUCUACUCGUAACACCAGAAGCUCUAAUACCAUUGCAGCAGAUCCAAGUGGGAGUAGUCGCGUGGAAGAACGACCGCAGCAACAUUCUUCUAGGAGGCGAAUGAAUCCUCCACAGGCUCGUGCUGCUGUUAGAGCACCACGACGGGCUAGAGCUCCGCAUUUAGGCCGUGCACAUGCAGCACGACACGGAGCUAUGCAUUUCAAUUUUCCAAGCGGCAUGGACGUUGAGUUGAGAAUGGACUUUCUGGAGAAUCUGGAGAAUGUUAUUGGACACAGCUUCAACCACAGCAAUCUUCUUCACAUGGAUCGUGACUUUACUGAGUAUGAGAUGAUUACGAGUUGCUCCUAGCUCUUGAUGAAAACAACCAUCAACAUGGGGGUGCUUCUACUAGUCGCAUUAACAACUUGCCAGAGUCCACAGUUCAGACCGAUAAUUUUCAAGAAACAUGCGCUAUUUGUCUGGAGACGCCGACGAUUGGAGACACCAUCCGUCAUCUUCCUUGUUUCCACAAAUUCCACAAAGAUUGCAUUGAUCCAUGGCUUGGACGGAGUAAAGCAUGCCCGGUUUGCAAAUCCUCCGUCACUUAAACAAGGAGGAUGUUUUCUAAAAUUACCAUCGUACCCUUUCGACCGGGUGAUUUUGAUUCUGGGAUCAUUCUCUCUGGAAUCAUGUUGCUGAUAAAAGCAAACAUUCAUCGUUGAGUUUGAAACACACAUUAAACUGGCAACUGGGGUUUUACUACCGUUUACACCCGAGAAAGUGAUUAGUUUGUUGUGUUUUAAUACUCUAGCUAAGAGCUGUUCUGUAGAUUAAGCAGUUGAUUAUCGUACUAUUGAUUAAAGAUUAAUCCUGUUCAGACUUA